rnacentral:rRNA from 1 species
UACGAGGGGGGCAAAUGUUGUUCGGAAUCACUGGGCGUAAAGGGAGCGUAGGCGGGUUUCUAAGUCAGGUGUUUAAUCCCGGGGCCCAACCCCGGACAGGCACUUGAAACUGGGAAUCUUGAAUAGUGGAGAGGUCAGUGGAAUUGGGGUGGUAGCGGUGGAAUGCGUAGAGAUCCCCAAGAACACCAGUUGCGAAGGCGGCUGACUGGACACAUAUUGACGCUGAGGCUCGAAAGCAUGGGGAGCAAACAGGG